rnacentral:rRNA from 1 species
AAUCACUUGUCUUUUAAAUGAAGACCUGUAUGAAAGGUAUGACGAGGGCUUAACUGUCUCCUUUUCUUAGUCAGUGAAAUUGAUCUCCCCGUGCAGAAGCGGGGAUAAAAACAUAAGACGAGAAGACCCUGUGGAGCUUGAGACGCCAGGCUGGACCCUGUUAAAAAUGUCCAUAGAACUACAAACUAAAGGGCUACCACCCUAGUGUCUUCGGUUGGGGCGACCAUGGGGAAAACAAACCCCCCACGUGGACUGAGAGUACUAACCCGCACUAUAACUCCCCUCUUAAAAAUCAGAGCCACAACUCCAAUUAACAGAAUUUCUGACCAAAAAUGAUCCGGCAAUGCCGAUCAACGGACCAAGUUACCCCAGGGAUAACAGCGCAAUCCCCUUUUAGAGCCCCUAUCGACAAGGGGGUUUACGACCUCGAUGUUGGAUCAGGACAUCCUAAUGGUGCAACCGCUAUUAAGGGUUCGUUUGUUCAACGAUUAA